AAAGGUGGUAGGCUGAAAUCUUAGGUAAAUCCGGGGUUUCAAGGCCGAGAGCUGAUGACGAGUCGUCUUUUAGAUGACGAAGUGGUUGAUGCCAUGCUUCCAAGAAAAGCUUCUAAGCUUCAGGUAACCAGGAACCGUACCCCAAACCGACACAGGUGGUCGGGUAGAGAAUACCAAGGCGCUUAAGAGAACUCGGGUGAAGGAACUAGGCAAAAUGGCACCGUAACUUCGGGAGAAGGUGCGCCGGCUAGGGUGAAGGAUUUACUCCGUAAGCUCUGGCUGGUCGAAGAUACCAGGCCGCUGCGACUGUUUAUUAAAAACACAGCACUCUGCAAACACGAAAGUGGACGUAUAGGGUGUGACGCCUGCCCGGUGCCGGAAGGUUAAUUGAUGGGGUUAGCGCAAGAGAAGCUCUUGAUCGAAGCCCCGGUAAACGGCGGCCGUAACGAUAACGGUCCUAAGGUAGCGAAAUUCCUUGUCGGGUAAGUUCCGACCUGCACGAAUGGCGUAACGAUGGCGGCGCUGUCUCCACCCGAGACUCAGUGAAAUUGAAAUCGCUGUGAAGAUGCAGUGUAUCCGCGGCUAGACGGAAAGACCCCGUGAACCUUUACUGUAGCUUUGCACUGGACUUUGAGCCUGCUUGUGUAGGAUAGGUGGGAGGCUUUGAAGCGUGGACGCCAGUUCGCGUGGAGCCAUCCUUGAAAUACCACCCUGGCAUGCUUGAGGUUCUAACUCUGGUCCGUAAUCCGGAUCGAGGACAGUGUAUGGUGGGCAGUUUGACUGGGGCGGUCUCCUCCUAAAGAGUAACGGAGGAGUACGAAGGUGCGCUCAGACCGGUCGGAAAUCGGUCGCAGAGUAUAAAGGCAAAAGCGCGCUUGACUGCGAGACAGACACGUCGAGCAGGUACGAAAGUAGGUCUUAGUGAUCCGGUGGUUCUGUAUGGAAGGGCCAUCGCUCAACGGAUAAAAGGUACUCCGGGGAUAACAGGCUGAUACCGCCCAAGAGUUCAUAUCGACGGCGGUGUUUGGCACCUCGAUGUCGGCUCAUCACAUCCUGGGGCUGAAGCCGGUCCCAAGGGUAUGGCUGUUCGCCAUUUAAAGUGGUACGCGAGCUGGGUUUAGAACGUCGUGAGACAGUUCGGUCCCUAUCUGCCGUGGACGUUUGAGAUUUGAGAGGGGCUGCUCCUAGUACGAGAGGACCGGAGUGGACGAACCUCUGGUGUUCCGGUUGUCACGCCAGUGGCAUUGCCGGGUAGCUAUGCUCGGAAAAGAUAACCGCUGAAAGCAUCUAAGCGGGAAACUUGCCUCAAGAUGAGAUCUCACUGGGAACUUGAUUCCCCUGAAGGGCCGUCGAAGACUACGACGUUGAUAGGCUGGGUGUGUAAGCGUUGUGAGGCGUUGAGCUAACCAGUACUAAUUGCCCGU
rnacentral:rRNA from 1 species